ensembl:lncRNA
GUUAAUAUUUUUGCAAUUUUUUCCAUUGAAAAUCACCCAUUUACUAGAGUAUUUGUGUAGAUGUUUAUCUUUUAUUCUUUUAAAUUUUCAUCUCUCCUAACCAUGCCCCCACCGUCUGUGCUUGUUGCUCUUUUUUUCUUGAUUUGACUUGCCAAAAUUUCAUCUUUUGUAUAGGUCUUCUUGGUAUUUUUGUUUUUUUGGGUUUUUUUUCUUCUGCUUUUUCUCCCCAAAUCCCCCAGUACAUAGUUGUAUAUUUUAGUUGUGGGUCCUUCUAGUUGUGGCAUGUGGGAGGCCGCCUCAACAUAGCCUGAUGAGCAGUGCCAUGUCCGCACCCAGGAUCCGAACCAGCAAAACCCUGGGCCGCCGAAGCCAAGCGCGGGAGCUUAACCACUCGGCCAUGGGGCCAGCCCCUGUAUAGGUCUUUUUGUAAAAAAUAAUCCUUAGAAUUAUUUGUAAUGCCUAUUUUUUUUGUUUUGUUUUCUAAUAGAACAGAGAUAUGUUUAUUUCAACAAAAUUACAAAGUAAAACCACAAAGAAAUAAAAAUCCUUGACGCUCACUGAGACACAAUUUUGUAAAGAAGAAAGUUCACAGUAAUCAGCCUAAGUACAAUAAAUUAUAAAGAUCUGUUGAUAUUUUAAUGGAAGAAAAUAACCAAGUGAAACACAAAAAUCCUUUUAAAAUACAGCAUCAUUGCCACAGCACAUGAAAACAUUUCCACAAAAAAUGAACAAUUUCCACUUGGAUAUUUUUCAGCCCUUUCUGAAUUUACAUUCUGAAAUUCGAUGUUCUACUGCAGUUUAUAGACCAGCCAUUCUCUCAUUCCAGGGACCCACGAAGAUUAGUCCUGUCCCAAGCAAUUAAAAGAAGCACUUCCAGUUAGAUAUGUAGCACUUAAGGCUAAGAUUUAAUCUUAAUUGGCAACACGUUUAGUGCAAACAAAAUUAUAUUUAGCAGCUUAGAAAAUUCCUGGUGGGGAGGCCUUCACCUCUUAACCCUUACUGCUUCCCCAGAGCAAAAUCAUUUCUCUCUUUUCACGAGUAUGAACAUUGGUCAUUCAAAGCUAUUGAAGACUACUGAUGCUAAUUCUGCUCUUUGUUACCCAGGGCGUUUCUGUGAAAGAUGGUUUCAGUCACCAUGCAAAUGAGCCACAUAAUUCUUACAUUUGGACAAAGUUCCCCUUAGGGUGAUUUUUAAAAAGCAGGGCCUGAUUGUCAGUCAUAACUGGAUCUUACCCAAUAGCUUCUCUGAUGGUGAAGAAGAGACCCAGAUGAGGCACUAAUCAUUUCACGCCUCAGCCACCAUAGGUUGCCUUCAAAGGAAGACCCGAGGACAGGGCUAAAUUAACUUCUACUCUCCAGUAAAAAUUCUAUUUCACUGAUUUGAAUGCCAGAAAAGAAAGAGAAAGAAAUGAAGAGGAGCCAUCUGAUUUCAAACCUGGUGCUUUCCACUCUCAGCCAAGAUUCAUUCUCCAAAUGAACAGAAGCCAGAGAGCUACUAGCCAGAGAGGAUUUCAUUUGAGCUCUGUCAAUUCCUCGAAUUGCCUCCCUUCUUGUUAGACAUCUGUUCCCUCUCUAGCCAAGGUCUGGGAUGGCUGCUUCAGAAAACAAUGUGGCUUACUGUGCCCGGAUCGGAUCGUGGCGGCAAGGGGAGAGGAAGAACACCUGCUGGGUUUGAAGCACCUGUCUCUGUCUCUCGUCUAGGUUUCACCGGCCCAAGGACUAGAGCUGUCAGAAAGCUUGGAUGACCUCUGAGGGCCGGGACGUGCUGACAUAAAAUCCAGGGAGGUAAACACUAGCUAGACAUCUCACUCGACCUCUCCCCUUACCAACUCCUCAGUCAUUUUUCUAUUCCCCUUGAAUUCUCUCACUGAAGAGCUCAAGGAUGGGGGCGUGGUGGCUGCAGGUUGGAGAGAGGGGCCCACCUCAGUCACUGUACUCUUCCCUUUCCCUCGGAGUGGCGAAUUUCUCAUACUGGUUGGCAGAUUUCCAUUUGCUGUGCUGACUUUUGAGUAGCGCAGCUAAGGAAGUCUUUCGGGUGACAUUUCUAGAUAUUUCCCUGCUCUUCGCCUUCCUGGUGGGGGAAGAGCUUCGGACUAAGGGAUAGACAGGAAAAAUGGGCUUGCCCCGAGGGGCUCCCAACAGCUGCCAUAUUUCCCCAGAGGUAUUACUGGUCAGAUACUGCCAUGGCUUCUUCCCACUGCUGUCUCGGAUAUUCACCCUAGAAGCCAACCUUUCCACUAGCAGUUUGAUGAUUGCCUGGUGGCCGUGAAUGGCUGCAAGGUGCAGAGGGGUAUACCCACAACCGGACUUCACAUUUACAUCAAGAGCAAUCCCUGCUUUCUGUGCACCCGAAACCAAGUCCUGAAGGGCCCUGAGGUCACCAUGUUUGGCUAUCCAGUGCAAGGCAGUGUAUCCAGUCAAGAAGUCUUUGUGCAAAGCCAGCUGGGGGUCCUCCCAGAAUAAAGUCAACACCUGAAUCCAAGAGCCACUGGCAAGCUUCACAAUCCAUUCAUGCUCCCUGGCAUCUAGGGGCACCAGGGAUGACUUGUGCUCAGAAGGUCUAUGCGGGACCAAGGCUGCAGGUCCCUCCCCAUCCGGGGCCCAUGAGCUGUGUGGCCGACCCCGCUCAGCAAGAGCAACCUUAAUAUCUGCAGGUUUUAGCAUGAGAGCGGCAUCCACCCUUGGGCUGGACACGGCUCCUGCCUUGGAGGGCUUCCUGGACCGUGGCGGGCGCCGACUCCUUUUCAGCAAGUCCUCCUCAAGACACUCCUCAUCCGAGGAGGACAAUUUGGCUCUCCCUGCCCUGGAGCUCCUCCUGAGGGAUCUCCUUAUCUUGGGAGCUGGCCAAGGCAGAGGCUCUUGGGGGUGGCCUGCAAGGCCAUUGGCCCCUGUUGGGACCUGCUCAGAGGUGUGGCCAGCCUCUCUGUUUCUGAGGCCCUGAGGGCUCCUACUGGGGUUGCCCUCCUUUGGAGACAGGCCCCCGGCUGGAUUCCUGAGCUUUCCCCAAUCGGGGGUUCUCAGGGCAACCUGCAGCCCCUCUUCAGAACCUCCAGGGGAGUCUUUGGGCCCAGCGCUGCUCUCCUCACUGCUGUGGCUCUCCUGGUCCACAAAGCCAUCCAGAUCUUGGAGGGACAGCUGACAACGAAUGCUGCGAAAGAUUGUCAACGGGGAGUUCCCGGGCCAGGAUUCCGCGGCAGCAGGAAAGAGAGAAGGCGAGGAAAGAGGGGGCUCCGGCGGCGCUGAAUUAGGUUCCGGGACCCACAAGCCCAGCUCCGAGGUUAGCUGAGGGAAGUUGUCCGGCAGCACCGACCAGGCUCGGAUGGGGCCCUGAUUCCGGGCUUCUGGAAUCUGGGGGUGUCUGGCCACCCAUUCUCGAGUGCGCUGCUGCUGCUGCUGCAGGGUCGAAUAACGCAGAGAGCUCGGCGUCCCCAGCUCCGGCGGGUCUUCGGGGGGAGUGAGGCGGGACGGGGGAGCAGACGGGGACGCCCCGCUGGCGGCACCCUCGACGGCUGCAGCAGGCGAGCGCGGCGCUGCGGGCACCCGCGCGGGCUCAGCAGGCACGCCCUCCCGCCGCUGCCUGGGAGCCCCGCGGUCAGCCUGGGCAGGCGGAGCCCGCGCCUGCUUCUCCCUGGCGGCGGCGGGGUCCGAGGGGGCGCCAGGCAGCGGCUCGCCCGGCAGUCCCUCCAGGCCGUUCUGGAGGCAUUCCCAGCAGCAGCGGCCCUGCGUCUCCGCAGCCGCGCACCUCGCGCCGGCCUGGGUCACUGUCGCCGCCGCCGCGGGCACUGGCGCUCUGGGGCCGGGGCUGCCCCUCCGCCCGCCGCCUCCCCGGGACGCCUCCCGGGCGCCGCUGGCCGGGAGUCCAUCGCAACCUGCGGCCGCGGCCGGGGCUGCGGCACCUGCUGGCUCCUCCUCCGGUUCCUUCUCUCGCCGCCGCCGCCUGGGCUGCUGCGGCGGCGGCUCCCCCCGGCGCGCGCCUCGCGGGGAGCAGGGCGCCGCUCCCCCUGCAGGGGCGGCGGCUGCGGGCGGGUCGCGGGGUCGCUGCAGUCCCUCCUCCCCCAAAAGGUCCCUGUACCUCCUCUUGAGCACGACGUACUUGGUGCCGUCGGGGUCCUGGCGCACUGCGGCGACUGAGUUGACGAAGCCCUUGAAGAGCUCGCGGCGGCGCUGCUGCUGGCCGGGGGGCGCGUCGGGGUCUCGGAGGAAGCUCUUGAAGUGGCUCAGCAAGGCGGCGUUGGUUACUCGGCCCCCGGCCUGACACAGAAAGUCCAGUAGUGCCUCCUGGCUCAACUCUCGGGCCAUCGCUGCCUUGUCGUCCCCUGCCCCCGGGGUGUCUGCGUCUCGCCCUCCCUGCGCUCUCGCCGGCCAGCAGAAACCCUGGCCUGGUGUGUGUCACCUGCGCCCGAGGCGGAGCCACCCGCCUCCAUCAGCCGCAGAAGCCAGCGCUGCUUGCAGCCCCCGAUCGCACCGAGAGGGCCGCGGGACCCCGGGCAGACGCCCCGGGCUGAGCCCCUGCGCACAGCCGGGGUGGGAAAGGGCGGCUCCCAAACCGCCCCUGCGCGACGCGGGCCUCUAGCAGCUAGUCCCGGCCGCGAAAGUUCCCGGGAUAGGUCGGAGUCGGUUUCACCUGCGCCCUGGCGACGCCUCCUCCCUGGCUCUGGGGGAAGGGCCCGGCCCGCCUCCUCCUGUCCCUCCGCCCUCUGAGGUCUCCCCCACCCAUGCCACCCAUCCCAGAUGAGUCAGGCUGGUCUGAACCACAGAGAGCGUCUGUAGGUGAGGUUGCGGGCAAGCGGGAGGCGGCAGCGAACGCUCUGCAGGACGCGCGGCCGCUCCUGGCCGGGGAAACGGAAGGCAGGAUGUAUCUGAUGUGCUUAUUCUUUGCCCUUGGUGCAAACCUCUAGUGUGGAUGUAGAGUGCCAUCUUCACCUAAGAAGGUGAAACUGCCCCAUGUCAAUCAUUCAGACUUCCCCAGGGCAACAAUCAAGACUUCCUCACCUCUCUGUCCCAAACACACACCACGGCACAUCUAGGCUCUCUAUAAAGGCUGGUGGGCUGAAAAAUGACUGAACAAGAGGAUAGUUUCAGACAUGCGCUCUGGAGGCAGAGUGACUUGUGUAUAAAAGCUGUAUGAACUUGGUCUAGAUGGCUGUUCCAGCGCCAGUCAUCACAUCUGCGUUCCAGCUAGCAGGAAGGAAGAAUGCAAAGAGAAGGGCAUAACCUCUCUCUCCAAGGACGCUUCUCAGAAGUUAACACACAACUCUUCUGCUUACAUUCCAUUGGCCAGAACUUGGGCACAUGGCCACAUCUAGCUGCAAAGAGAGGCUGGCAAAUAAAAUCUUUAUUUCAAACAACUUUGUUCCCUACUGAAAAAAGGAGGAGUUUGUUAUUACAGAACUUGGUUUAACAACUGGAGCACUAUUGGCAGGACAGUCUCUUUUGAAUGAGACUGUCUCGUACAUUUUAGGACAUUUACACCACCAGGCCCCAGAUACUACCUAAACGCUGGUAGCACCCU